AAACUUCCAACAACGGAUCUCGAGGUUCUGGCAUCGAUGACGAAGAAGAACAAAUGCGAUUGCGAUGUGAAUGGGAAAAUUCAGUGAAUCAGAAAAUCUUUGACUUGGAUUGCGCCCGUUGGGCCUGGAGGGGCAUGCCUGUGCCAGCGUGAUU
rnacentral:rRNA from 1 species